ACCGUAUCAGAGAAGUUGUGCAGACUGCACCAAAAGCAGAGAGCAGGAGAACAGUACCUCUUCAUGUUGCAGUAGAACAAAAACUACAACAAAAACCUGAAAAUGUUUUGCUUCAGGAGCACUGCUCAGUGUUGCCUUCGCACAGACUCGUCAGUACAACUUUGUGAACACGCAGCUGAACUGGACUAGUGCUCAGAGUGUCUGCAGACACGACUUCACUGAUCUGGCAACCAUAGAAAACACAGAUGACGUCAAUGCUGUUGUUAGCACCACAUCAACCUUUACAGGCAAGGCUUGGAUAGGUCUCCAUGAUGACUUGGUAAACAGCUGGAGAUGGUCCCUAAAUGACAGCAGCUUCUACGGUGAAGAAGAGACGACAUUCAGAAACUGGGAUUCUGGCCAGCCCGACAAUUUUGGUGGAACACAGUACUGUGUGAGUCUUGGAGCUAAUGGCAAAUGGGAUGACGUGAACUGCAGUCAGCAGUAUAAUUUUGUGUGCUACAAUGGCACAGUGAACGGCACACCAUCUUUCGUUUUCAAUCAAACUUUGCUCUUAAAUUGGACUGAAGCUCAGCAAUUCUGCAAGCAGAAUUAUGUUGAUCUGGUCAGCAUAAGAAACCAAACUGAAAAUAACAUCAUCAAAGACAUAGCAGGUGGAUCUACUGUGUGGA